rnacentral:rRNA from 1 species
GACGAACGCUGGCGGCGUGCUUAACACAUGCAAGUCGAGCGGUAAGGCCCUUUCGGGGGUACACGAGCGGCGAACGGGUGAGUAACACGUGGGUGACCUGCCCUCAGCUCUGGGAUAAGCCUGGGAAACUGGGUCUAAUACUGGAUAUGACUCCACGGUGCAUGUCGUGGGGUGGAAAGCCUUGUGCGGCUGAGGAUGGGCCCGCGGCCUAUCAGCUUGUUGGUGGGGUGAUGGCCUACCAAGGCGACGACGGGUAGCCGGCCUGAGAGGGCGACCGGCCACACUGGGACUGAGACACGGCCCAGACUCCUACGGGAGGCAGCAGUGGGGAAUCUUGCGCAAUGGGCGAAAGGCCUGACGCAGCGACGCCGCGUGAGGGAUGACGGCCUCGGU